rnacentral:rRNA from 1 species
UACAGAGGGGGCAAGCGUUGUUCGGAAUUACUGGGCGUAAAGGGCGCGUAGGCGGCCUGUUAAGUCGAACGUGAAAUCCCCGGGCUCAACCCGGGAACUGCGUCCGAUACUGGCAGGCUUGAAUCCGGGAGAGGGAUGCGGAAUUCCUGGUGUAGCGGUGAAAUGCGUAGAGAUGUGGAGGAACACCAGUGGCGAAGGCGGCUUUCUGGUCUGUAACUGACGCUGAGGCGCGAAAGCGUGGGGAGCAAACAGG